rnacentral:rRNA from 1 species
AGUGAACGCUGGCGGUAGGCCUAACACAUGCAAGUCGAACGGCAGCACAGUAAGAGCUUGCUCUUACGGGUGGCGAGUGGCGGACGGGUGAGGAAUACAUCGGAAUCUACUUUUUCGUGGGGGAUAACGUAGGGAAACUUACACUAAUACCGCAUACGACCUACGGGUGAAAGCAGGGGAUCUUCGGACCUUGCGCGAUUGAAUGAGCCGAUGCCGGAUUAGCUAGUUGGCGGGGUAAAGGCCCACCAAGGCGACGAUCCGUAGCUGGUCUGAGAGGAUGAUCAGCCACACUGGAACUGAGACACGGUCCAGACUCCUACGGGAGGCAGCAGUGGGGAAUAUUGGACAAUGGGCGCAAGCCUGAUCCAGCCAUACCGCGUGGGUGAAGAAGGCCUUCGGGUUGUAAAGCCCUUUUGUUGGGAAAGAAAAGCAGCAGGUUAAUACCCCGCUGUUCUGACGGUACCCAAAGAAUAAGCACCGGCUAACUUCGUG